UACGUAGGGCGCAAGCGUUGUCCGGAAUUAUUGGGCGUAAAGAGCUCGUAGGCGGCCUGUUGCGUCCGCUGUGAAAACCCGGGGCUUAACCCCGGGCUUGCAGUGGAUACGGGCAGGCUGGAGGCAGGCAGGGGAGAACGGAAUUCCCGGUGUAGCGGUGAAAUGCGCAGAUAUCGGGAGGAACACCGGUGGCGAAGGCGGUUCUCUGGGCCUGUACUGACGCUGAGGAGCGAAAGCGUGGGGAGCGAACAGG
rnacentral:rRNA from 1 species